rnacentral:lncRNA from 1 species
UAGGGGCUCAGUGGCACAUGCCUAUAGUCCCAGCUACUCCAAAGACUGAGAUGGGAGGGGCGCUUGAGUCCAGGAGUUCUGGGCUUUAAGUAUGCUAUGCUGAUCGAUACUAAGUUCGACACCAAUAUGGUGACUUCACAGAAGCACGGGACCACCAGGUUGUCUAAAGAGAGGUGAACUGGCCCAAGUCAGAAACAGAGCAGGUCAAAAUCCCCAUUCUGAUCAGCAAAAAAUUAAUUGGGUCUCUUGAGUAUUUGUGAGACUGGACUUAAACGCUAUGUCUGCU